rnacentral:rRNA from 1 species
CAGCAGCCCUAGUGGUGAUCGUUAUUAUUGGGCCUAAAGCGUCCGUAGCCGGUUCGGUAAAUCUCUGGGUAAAUCGUUGGGCUUAACUCAACGAAUUCUGGGGAGACUGCCGAACUUGGGACCGGGAGAGGUCGGAGGUACUCCAGGGGUAGGGGUGAAAUCCUGUAAUCCUUGGGGGACCACCGGUGGCGAAAGCGUCCGACCAGAACGGGUCCGACGGUAAGGGACGAAGCCCUGGGGCGCGAACCGGAUUAGAGACCCGAGUAGUCC